UUGUGUUUGUAUGAAAUGAUUUGUUCAGAUCAUUUGGCGCAUGAGAGGAGCAAGGCUAAGUUUGACGUGGAGGCAAUGAAGAUCGUCUGGGCGGGUUCUUCCCACGAGUUUCGAGUCUCUGAUCGAAUGGCUCACCUCGUGGCUAGUGAUCCGAGCUUUCGACGGGAGAAUAGAGCUGUGCUAAGUAGGAAGGAGUUGUUCACAAAGGCUCUGAGAAAAGCAGCUCAUGCCUGGAAAAGGAUCAAUGAGCUUGGGCUUUCAGAUGAAGAGGCUUCAUGGCUAUGGUUUUAUGUGGACGAACUGACAUUCGCUUACAUUCAUUGGGGAAUGUUUGUGCCCGCUAUCAAAGGGUCAGGCACGGAGGAGCAGCAAAACAAGUGGUUGCCGUUGGCAACCACGAUGCGCAUAAUUGGUACUUAUGCACAAACUGAGCUCGGACAUGGCUCGAAUGUUCGAGGGAUUGAGACCACCGCGACAUUUGAUCCAACGACUGACGAGUUCAUCAUCCAUAGUCCUACACUCACCUCGAGCAAAUGGUGGUCUGGCGGAUUGGGGAAGAUUGCAACUCACGCUGUUGUCUAUGCCCGGGUUAUUACUCACGACGGCCAAGAUCAUGGCGUCAAUGGCUUCAUUGUCCAAAUUCGGAGUUUGGAUGAUCACUUGCUCUUCCGGGCAUAACAGUUGGUGAUAUAGGAACAAAAUUUGGAAGCGGAGCUUUCAAUUCCGUGGACAAUGGUGUUCUAAGAUUUGAUCACGUGCGAAUACCAAGAAAUCAAAUGCUGAUGAGGGUGGCACAUGUCACAAGAGAAGGAAAAUAUGUGCUGUCCAAUGUUCCUAGGCAGCUGCUUUAUGGAACUAUGGUUUAUGUGAGGAAAACUAUUGUAGUUGAUUCUUCAAUUGCUUUAUCAAGAGCAGUGUGUAUAGCUGCUCGAUAUAGCAGUGUUCGUCGACAAUUUGGUUCACAAAAUCGUGAGAUUAAUGGUAUUGCGGUUGAGACCCCAGUGAUUGAGUACAAGACUCAGCAAAGUAGACUUUUUUCUCUGUUAGCUUCUGCCUAUGCUUUCAGAUUCAUUGGUGAGUGGCUGAAAAGCCUAUAUACCGAUUUGACACGAAAACUGGAAGCGAAUGAUUUUUCAACAUUAGCUGAAGCUCAUGCAUGCACGGCGGGUUUGAAGUCCUUGACUACAUCUUCAGCUGUUCAUGGGAUUGACGAAUGCCGGAAACUAUGUGGUGGCCAUGGAUACCUAAAUAGCAGCGGGCUUCCCGAGUUAUAUGCUGUUUUCGCACCUGCAUGUACGUAUGAAGGGGACAACACUGUUCUUCUUUUGCAGGUUGCAAGGUUCCUCAUGAAGACUAUUUCUCAGCUUCUUCAUUCUGAUCAAACUCAUAAGCUUUCUGGAACAAUAGCUUAUAUGGUUCUGAUGGAUCAUUAUUUGAUCAAAUAUUGCUGUAGUGUUGAAAAAGCUGAGGACUGGUUGAAAGCCGAUGUAAUACUCAAGGUAUUCGAAGCAAGGGCCAUUAGAAUGUGUGUUGCUUGUGCUCAAAAUCUUGCCAAGUUUGCAGAUCCAUCAGAAGGGUUUUCUGAACUCUCACCAGAUUUAGUAGAGGCUGCAAUUGCUCACUGCCAGUUGAUCGUUGUCUCCAAAUUCAUUGAGAAAUUGCAGCAGAAAAUUGAAGGAAACGGAGUAAAACAACAAUUGGAGACCCUCUGCUACAUAUAUGCUUUGCAUCUGAUUCACAAAUAUUCAGGGGAUUUUAUUUCCACGGGUAGCUUGAAUCCCAAGCAAGCUUCACUUGCCAAUGAUCAACUUAGAGCUCUGUAUGUCGAGGUUCGUCCAAAUGUUAUUGCCCUUGUUGAUGCAUUUAAUUACACUGACCAUUUUCUUGGCUCAAUUCUUGGAUGCUACGAUGGGAAUGUGUAUCCAAAACUGUAUGAUGAGGCUUGGAAAGAUCCGCUCAAUGACUCAGUUGUAACUGAUGGCUAUCCUGAAUACAUCAAACCUCUGAUAAAUCAGCAGCUCCUAAAUGCAAGGUUAUGAAUUUUAUUUAAUUUCUGUAGCGAUAUUGGAAGAGUGGGAAAUCGAACUACAGAUCUCAGACGCAGAAGUGAAUGCUAGGCUAUGAUUUAAGACGAAUAAGGUAAAGUAACCAUCUCAGUAGCAACUUUAUGUUUUGUUUUCCUUUAUACUUCUUGUCCAAAGAACAAUAUAUAACUUUUCUCCUUUACUACUGAGCCCCCCCGGGCGACGCCGCGGGAUCUUAAAACUGUGUUCAACGUAUCGGAUAGAAUAAAGUCUAUUUACAUCUUUAUAUUCAAUAAGGAACAAAAGAUACUUGUUUGUACAAUGUAUUACAUAGCCAAAAUUGUGAAUUGUUGGGAUGGUAAUGUUCACGGUAGAACUUGUGUAGUUUUAUUACCUAAUGUCAAAAAGAAGUGCUCUGUAGUGAUUAAUAAAAAAAAUAUUUAAGAAA